rnacentral:rRNA from 1 species
CAGCGCCACAAGUGGGAAUCAUGUUUAUUUGGCCUAAAGCGUCCGUAGCCGGCCGCGUAAAUCCUUUGUGAAAUCAUCGGGCUUAACCCGAUGGCGUGCAGAGGACACUGCGUAGCUUGGAACCGGGAGGAGUCAGAGGUAUGGGACGGGGAGCGGUAAAAUGCGAUAAUCCGUCCUAGACCACCUGUGGCGAAGGCGUCUGACUAGAACGGAUUCGACGGUGAGGGACGAAAGCCAGGGGAGCGAUCCGGAUUAGAUACCCGAGUAGUCC